rnacentral:rRNA from 1 species
UACGGAGGGGGCUAGCGUUGUUCGGAAUUACUGGGCGUAAAGCGCGCGUAGGCGGACCUGCAAGUCGGGGGUGAAAGCCCGAGGCUCAACCUCGGAACUGCCUUCGAUACUGCGGGUCUCGAGUCCGGGAGAGGUGAGUGGAAUUCCUAGUGUAGAGGUGAAAUUCGUAGAUAUUAGGAAGAACACCAGUGGCGAAGGCGGCUCACUGGCCCGGUACUGACGCUGAGGUGCGACAGCGUGGGGAGCAAACAGG